AACGCUAGCUACAGGCUUAACACAUGCAAGUCGAGGGGCAGCGCAGUGUAGCAAUACAUGGGCGGCGACCGGCGCACGGGUGCGUAACGCGUAUCCAACCUUCCCGAUACUCAGGGAUAGCCUUCCGAAAGGGAGAUUAAUACCUGAUGGUGUUCAAAUUCCGCAUGUUAUUUGAACUAAAGAUUUAUCGGUAUCGGAUGGGGAUGCGUGACAUUAGAUAGUAGGCGGGGUAACGGCCCACCUAGUCUACGAUGUCUAGGGGUUCUGAGAGGAAGGUCCCCCACACUGGAACUGAGACACGGUCCGGACUCCUACGGGAGGCAGCAGUGAGGAAUAUUGGUCAAUGGUCGGAAGACUGAACCAGCCAAGUAGCGUGAAGGAUGAAGGUUCUAUGGAUUGUAAACUUCUUUUAUACGGGAAUAAAACCACCUACGUGUAGGUGCUUGUAUGUACCGUAUGAAUAAGCAUCGGCUAACUCCGUGCCAGCAGCCGCGGUAAUACGGAGGAUGCGAGCGUUAUCCGGAUUUAUUGGGUUUAAAGGGAGCCGUAACGGGAUGUUAAGUCAGUUGUGAAAGGCUGCGGCUCAACCGCAGCACUGCAGUUGAUACUGGCGUCCUUGAGUGCGGUUGAGGUAUGUGGAAUUCGUGGUGUAGCGGUGAAAUGCUUAGAUAUCACGAAGAACUCCGAUUG
rnacentral:rRNA from 1 species